AACAGUGCACACUGGGUUGAGCUUGAACUUGCCCCGGGGCGCAUACCUGGAAACGUUCCAUUGACGUGUUUGUGCGCUGACGUGAACAGUCCGGAAACGCAACUUUUGAUGCAAUGAUAGAUAGAAGAUUUAUAUGUAGAUGAAACAUUUAAAUUUAGCUAGAAAUAGGAAACAUAUUUCGCCUGGUUUGGCUUCACUUCAUUGGUUGCCUGUCGAAUACCGUGUUAAAUUGUUAAGGUUUUGCUGUAUGUGUAGGGGUUUAAUGGCCAGGCCCCACAGUACAUUACAGAUCUUCUUCUCCACUGGAAAUGUUCUAUGCCCUUAUUGUCCUCAAACAGUUUUGAUGUUGUCUGUGCCAAGGUCACGUUUGAAGUUAAAAGGGCAUUGUGCUAUUUCUGUUGCUGCUACAGGACUGUGGGAUGAGCUGCUGGUACACACUGAUGCUGAUAGUUUUAAAUCCUCAUUGAAGUGAUGGCAGAGGCUCACCAGGCAGAAGUGUUUCAGUUCACCAUCACUCCUGAGGGGAUCGACCUGUAUCUUUCCCACCAUGCCCUAAAUCAAAUCUACUUCUCCGGUCUGUGAUCCCGGAAGAAACGCAUCAGCAGGAUUAAGCAAUCCAAUAUGUACAUGCAGUCUGAUCCAACUAUAGGCCUCACUGCUAAGAUUCAGGAGCACUUGCCCCUGAGGUUAGUGACUGGUGAAAAGAGUAUGUUUAUCUCCGGAGCCAGAGAAACAGUAACUGUUAUGGAAGCCCUGGGCUCAGAUGAGGAAGCAGUUCUUUAGUUCUGGAGUGAACAAGCGCUCAUUGGACUGCAUUGAAAAAGUGGCCUUCUUUGUCACACUGGGUGAUCACGAAUAAGGCAUGAUGGGGGAAGAUCCCCCAUGA